CCUACGGGAGGCAGCAGUGGGGAAUAUUGGGCAAUGGAGGCAACUCUGACCCAGCAACGCCGCGUGAAUGAUGACGGUCUUCGGAUUGUAAAGUUCUGUGAUGGGGGAUGAACACAAUGACGGUACCCCAAUAGCAAGCCACGGCUAACUACGGGCCAGCAGCCGCGGUAAUACGUAGGUGGCAAGCGUUUUGCGGGAGGACUGGGCGUAAAGGGUGCGUAGGGGGUUUAGGAAGUUGGCGUGGUAAAUCCAGGGAUCAACCUCGGCGCUACCGCCAAAACUAUUAGACUUGAGUGCAGGAGGGGUAAGUGGAAUUCCUAGUGUAGCGGUGAAAUGCGUAGAUAUUAGGAGGAACAUCAGGGGCGAAGGCGACUUGCUGGACUGUAACUGACGCUGAGGCACGAAAGCGUGGGGAGCAAACAGGAUUAGAUACCCGUGUAGUC
rnacentral:rRNA from 1 species